ensembl:lncRNA CCDC144BP coiled-coil domain containing 144B, pseudogene
CUUACCCGCGAGGCUUUGCGGUGGCUGCUUGGCUUGGCGGUGGUCGCUUGGCUUGGCGUGGCAGUGAUCGCUUGGCUUGGCAUUUCUGGCUUGGCGGUCCUCCUUUCGCAGAUUGGAAACCGCGGGCUAUCCUGCUGGGAGGUUGUGGCCGAGGCAGUAGCUCGCUACUGAUGGCCUCCUGGGGUGGAGAAAAGCGGGGAGGGGCUGAGGGGUCUCCGAAGCUGGCAGUCUACGCCACGAGGAAGACCCGUAGCGUCAGGAGCCAGGAGGACCAGUGGUACUUGGGCUACCCGGGGGACCAGUGGUCUUCGGGCUUCUCCUACAGCUGGUGGAAAAAUAGCGUCGGCAGCGAGAGCAAGCACGGUGAGGGCGCCUUAGACCAGCCCCAGCACGACGUCCGCCUGGAAGAUCUUGGCGAGCUCCACAGAGCUGCCCGGUCGGGCGACGUCCCUGGGGUGGAGCACGUCUUGGCUCCUGGAGACACUGGCGUGGACAAGAGGGAUAGGAAGAAGAGCAUUCAGCAACUAGUUCCUGAAUAUAAGGAAAAACAGACACCUGAAAGUCUUCCUCAAAAUAACAAUCCAGAUUGGCAUCCUACUAAUUUGACCCUUAGUGAUGAGACUUGUCAGAGAUCCAAGAAUCUGAAAGUUGGUGAUAAAAGUCCAUCUGUAUCACCAUCAAUGCCUGAAAAUCAGUCAGCAACCAAAGAACUGGGACAGAUGAACUUAACAGAACGAGAAAAAAUGGACACUGGAGUUGUACUUCUCUCAGGGAAUGAUACUCUCCAUGACCUGUGCCAAUCACAGCUACCAGAAAACAAAGAGAGCAAAGAAGAACAAGACUUGGAGCUGACAUCAGAGGAAGAGCAAGAAAGACUUAAAGGAUGCGAAAAUAAGCAGCCACAGAAAACGUCUCAAGAACCAGAAAUGGCUAAGGAUUGUGAUAGAGAGGAUAUACCUAUAUAUCCAGUACUUCCUCAUGUGCAAAAAUCUGAGGAAAUGUGGAUUGAACAAGGCAAAUUAGAGUGGAAAAACCAAUUAAAACUCGUCAUAAAUGAGUUAAAGCAGAGGUUUGGUGAAAUUUAUGAAAAAUACAAAAUUCCGGCUUGUCCUGAGGAAGAGCCACUACUUGAUAACUCUACAAGAGGAACAGAUGUGAAGGAUAUUCCCUUUAAUUUGACAAAUAACAUACCUGGUUGUGAGGAAGAAGAUGCAUCUGAAAUAUCUGUCUCAGUGGUAUUCGAGACAUUUCCUGAACAAAAAGAACCCAGUCUCAAAAAUAUCAUCCAUCCAUACUAUCAUCCGUACUCUGGGUCCCAGGAACAUGUUUGCCAGUCAUCUUCUAAGCUUCAUUUACAUGAAAAUAAAUUAGACUGCGACAAUGAUAACAAACUAGGCAUUGGACAUAUUUUUAGUACAGAUAACAACUUUCAUAAUGAUGCAAGCACUAAGAAAGCAAGGAACCCAGAAGUGGUUACGGUUGAAAUGAAAGAAGACCAAGAGUUUGAUUUGCAAAUGACAAAAAAUAUGAACCAAAAUAGUGACAGUGGCAGUACAAAUAACUAUAAAAGCCUGAAACCUAAAUUAGAAAAUCUGAGUUCUUUACCACCAGAUUCUGACAGAACAUCAGAAGUAUAUCUACAUGAAGAAUUACAGCAAGACAUGCAAAAGUUUAAGAAUGAGGUCAACACAUUAGAAGAAGAGUUCCUGGCUUUGAAGAAAGAAAAUGUUCAACUUCAUAAAGAGGUUGAAGAAGAAAUGGAGAAGCACAGAAGUAAUAGCACAGAAUUAUCAGGAACCCUAACUGAUGGUACUACUGUUGGCAAUGAUGAUGAUGGACUAAAUCAGCAGAUUCCUAGGAAGGAAAAUGAAGAGCAUGACAGGUAAGCCUAUAGCAGCGUUUAACAGGAGACAAUUGGUCAAGCGUGGUGGCUCACGCCUGUAAUCCAGCAAUUUGGGAGGCCAAGGCGGGUGAAUCACCUGAGGUCAGGAGUUCAAGACCAGCCUGACCAACAUGGAUAAAUCCCAUCUCUACUAAAAAUACAAAAUUAGCCAGGCGUAGUGGUGCAUGCCUGUAAUCCCAGUUACUCAGGAGGCUGAGGCAAGAGAAUCGUUUGAACCUGGGAGGCGGGGGUUGUGGUGAGCCGUGAUCAUGCCAUUGCACUCGAGCCUGGGCAACAAGAGUAAAACUCCAUUUC